CCUCGUCCUCCUCGCUCUAGCCGCGGGAAAGGAGUAGGCCAGCGGCUUGGGGUAGCGAUGGAGGAUCGUCGGCGGUGCUUGUGGGGUUCGGAGGACCCGGCCUUCGGCGGUCGGCGAAGUUGGCCUAGCUAUGCGGCGGUAGGCGCAGCUCUUUCUAGUGCCUAGCUUUGGCGGUCGCGGCGGGAGAGGCUAGUGGGUGAGUGGGCGAGCUCUACUUCCGCAAGCAGAUCGACACACCCUCUCGCCUAGUGUGCUCCCUCUCUCUCUCUCCUCCAGCGCACGAACCCGCCACAACGCAACAACGCCGUCGUCCACUCUCCUUUGUUCUCUCUACCGCACGGAAGCACCACUUCUAUUCCUUUCUUUCCUCCCCCUCCACAAUAGACCC
rnacentral:rRNA from 1 species